rnacentral:tRNA from 1 species
GGAGGGUUGCCCGAGCGGCCAAUGGGGGCGGGCUGUAAACCCGUUGACUUACGUCUUCGAAGGUUCGAAUCCUUCACCCUCCACCA